GGCAGGAGCAGCGAGGCCGGUCUGGGGCAGCGAGAGGGUGCAGGUCGGGGAGGAAGCAGCAGGUCUCAGGUAGCAGGCCCAGGGAAGUCCGUCAGCAAACGGUCCGUAGAGGAGGAUCGGAAGGCAGGAAGCUCGUGUCGUGGUGAGAGAUCAGUCUCCACGUAGAGAUCCGUCUACACGUUGCGGUGAGAGAUCAGUUGGCAGAGAGAACCCCUCAAGUCUGUCGUGGUGAGAGAUAAGCCUCUCCCGUUGCCGUGGUUGUGGUGAAGGAUCAGCUUCCACCGUUGUGGUUGUUGGACCCUCUUUUAUCCUCCAUUUUCUGCUGCCUACGUGACAUUCCUGGGGGCUUGAGCAAGAGUCCUGUGCAUACCUCCUGAGAUGGCCAUUUUCCUUGAGAUAAGUCCACACAAAAAGACCGUUUCCCGGCCAUUAGCGGCAGCUUAUCUCUCUCUCGUUGCCCC
rnacentral:lncRNA from 1 species